rnacentral:rRNA from 1 species
UACGUAGGGGGCAAGCGUUGUCCGGAUUUAUUGGGCGUAAAGAGCGUGUAGGCGGCCAAGCAGGUCAGCUGUGAAAACUCGAGGCUCAACCUCGAGACGUCGGUUGAAACCGCUUGGCUAGAGUCCGGAAGAGGAGAGUGGAAUUCCCGGUGUAGCGGUGAAAUGCGCAGAUAUCGGGAGGAACACCGGUGGCGAAGGCGGCGACCUGGUCCGAUACUGACGCUGAGGCGCGAAAGCGUGGGGAGCAAACAGG